rnacentral:rRNA from 1 species
AGCGGCGGACGGGUGAGUAACGCGUGGGUAACCUGCCUCAUACAGGGGGAUAACAGUUGGAAACGGCUGCUAAUACCGCAUAAGCGCACAGUACCGCAUGGUACGGUGUGAAAAACUCCGGUGGUAUGAGAUGGACCCGCGUCUGAUUAGGCAGUUGGUGGGGUAACGGCCUACCAAGCCGACGAUCAGUAGCCGACCUGAGAGGGUGACCGGCCACAUUGGGACUGAGACACGGCCCAA